rnacentral:rRNA from 1 species
UAAGGAAUAUUGCUCAAUGGGAGAAAUCCUGAAGCAGCAACGCCGCGUGGAGGAUGAAGGGUCUAUGACUUGUAAACUCCUGUAAAGAAGGAAAAAAUUCCCAUUAGAUGGGAGAUGAUGGUACUUCUGGAGUAAGCCCCGGCUAACUACGUGCCAGCAGCCGCGGUAAUACGUAGGGGGCAAGCGUUGUCCGGAUUUACUGGGUGUAAAGGGUGCUCAGGCGGAUUUGUAAGUCAGAGGUGAAAUCUUACGGCUUAACUGUGAAACUGCCUUUGAUACUGCAAGCCUAGAGUAUGGAAGAGAGUGAUGGAAUAUCUGGUGUAGCAGUGAAAUGCGUAGAUAUCAGAUAGAACACCAAUGGCGAAGGCAGUCACUUGGUCCAUUACUGACGCUAAAGCACGAAAGCGUGGGUAGCAAACA